UUUUGUUCAUAUUAUACACACAGAAUAUCAUUUCUUUCUCUUCCUUCUACACGUAAACCAAGGAAUCCUUUGUUCUUCAUCCAGUUCAUCGAUUCUUUGUUCGGGUCUCAUGAUGGAUUCGGAUCCUUUAUAUUUCUUUUAGCACUAUCUUCCUUCACACAAUUCACAAACCCUAGCUCUUCCCCUGCUUCUCUUUCUUUGCAUUCUUAUACCCUAUCCUCCCAUCGCUUCAUCGCAAUCCUCGCAGACUUAUUGGAGACAAAGGGGAUUCAUCAGUCUUAAUUAAUCGCAUAAACCCUAAAAGUCUUCUUCUCCAUCACAUGUAAGCUGUUCUUGAUUCAAUUGCAAGGUCUCGAUGGAUCUGUCACUCUUCGCGGUGAGGGCAUGAAUAGCUUGUCAUUGGCUAAUAGAUCAUCUAUUACGAAUUACGUGCAACGAUGGGCUUCUUUCUUGUAGAUCAUGUUACACUGCAGUACCUUAAGUUAACAGAACGAAGUGAUGAUACUGUAAGCUUUCUUCUUUGUAUUCUAAAAUAAGUUAACUUUUAGUUAAUAAAAUUCAGGAUGUGUUAUCCGCCACGAAGUUUGAAGAAUUGUCAAAGAUGUUAAUAGAAAGGUAUAUGGGAAUUAUACAGUAAAAUAAUUACAACUGAGCAUUCAAUUUCCCCAGUUUUGAUUAUGUAUCUGAUUAGAUUUGGAAUAUAUUUGUUGUAUCAUUAAUUAUGUGGUGCAUGGUUUGAUAAUAUUGACAAUAAGAAGUGUAGGAGGCUGUAUCACUCUUGAAUGCUAAGAUAAUUCGUGAAUGGCUAAAGUUAUUAUGGAUUUCUCACAUCAUGCAACCUAUUAGCUGAGAUAUUCCUUCAUGGGGAAGGCCAUUGGUGGAUGAGCAUUUAAAUUUCUAUAUCUAAUAAAAGAAAAGCUUGGCACUUGUCUGAGACAAGGUAGAUGAAAUGGGCAAGUAGCUGGAGCAAAUUUUCUUUUAAAGGAGUUGGUUCUUUUUCACAAGGAGUGAUGGAUGUCCGUUGUGGCUAUGGAAUUUGUUGCCAUGGAGAGGAGUUUCAAUGCCUUUUCCCUGAAAACGUGGUCCAAGAAAUAGAAACACCACUUUUUGUAACAAACACGGCCUAUGAUUCAGGGCAGAUAAAGAAUGCAGUAGCUCCUGGGGUAGUUGAUCCUCAUGGUAAAUGGCACGACUGUAAAAUGGAUAUUGAGCAGUGUUCAUCUGAUCAAAUUGAGAUCAUACAAGGUUGGAGUUCAUACGCGCAUUGGAUGGAUUUUUUGGCACUUCUUCACCAAGAGGGAUGUUUAUCAACUCUUGCUAUGCCCACUGCCAAACUGAAAUACAAGAGACAUGGUAUAUGAGUGAUUCACCCAUGUUGAGUAACAAGAAGUAUUGGCUCACCUUAAAGGGAAAGUUGUUUUCAUGAUCUUUCCAAAUGGUGAAUUUCCAGUUCCCAGGAUCAUUUACACUACAUGGGGACAUCACAUGAAGGUCAUGUUGCAACACGCUCUGCAAGACUAAAUCUGAUAUCUUUAUUAUGGUUUAUCCAAUGAAAAUAUAAAGGUCGGAAUGUCAAUUACGUUUAAGCAACAGUUGGUCAUUUCUACAAACCAACCCUUAAAAAUAAAAUGCCUGUUGUUCACCUAUUGCGAGCAAAACUAUUUAACGAGCACAAGUAAUGGAUGUGUUUUUUCACUUACAAGCACACAUUUACCAUAGACUUAGUUUGGUCAGAUAAUUUGGAAUGGGUCCAACUGGUAAUCAAUUAUGGAUUUGAAGCAACAUAUCAAAGGGAAGUUGUUGAAGUUGGAGGUUGAUCAUCAAAAUACAUCAAGUUAUCAAGAUAUGAUUAGGGAACUCAAUUUACUAAGGGAAAGGUUUUGGUAACUCGAAGGAUAUGCAUCUU
rnacentral:lncRNA from 1 species